GACGACGCUUGCGGCGUGCCUAAGAAAUGCAAGUCGAGCGAGGUUUAGGCUUCGGCCGACGACCUAGCGGCGAACGGUCGCGUAACACGUAAGCAACCUGCCCUAAAGUUGGGGAUAGCCCGCCGAAAGGCGGAUUAAUACCGAAUGUGGAUAUGUAUUCGCAUGUAUAUAUAUCUGAAGCAGCGAUGCGCUUUAGGAUGGGCUUGCGGCCUAUCAGUUAGUUGGUGUGGGUAACGGCCUACCAAGACGACGACGGGUAGCUGGUCUGAGAGGAUGGUCAGCCGGAUUGGGACUGAGACACGGCCCAGACUCCUACGGGGGGCAGCAAUUAGGAAUCUUGCGCAAUGGGCGAAAGCCUGACGCAGCGACGCCGCGUGACUGAUGAAGUCUUUCGAGAUGUAAAGGUCUUUUGUUGGGGACGAAGGAAGUGACGGUACCCGACGAAUAAGCCCCGGCUAACUACGUG
rnacentral:rRNA from 1 species